rnacentral:lncRNA from 1 species
CUGGUUGAAAGAAUGAUAAAAUCACUGUUUAAUCCUCUGUAAAGUUUUGAUUAAUGGAUAAAGGAUUUAUGAGGCUAGUUGUAAGCUGCAGCCAAUCUGGUGUGCUUUGUUUGUCUUUCUGUUUGGUUCUGUUAUGAAGAGGAGUACCUUAGGAUGGACUGUGGGCCUAGUACUCUAUAAACCCACUGUUCAAGCCAGCCCAGCAAACUGGACACAAUUUGAGAAACUGGUUGUUUUGCCAAGGCUUUGACUGGAAGGACGUGCUUCUCUUUAAGGAAUCAAGCUUGACUUGCAGAGCCAAUAAAAGCCCCUUGGGAAAACUGGCCUCAUACCUUGUCUACACAGUUCGUGUACAGGGUUCUUAACCUGUGGUGAGUAGAGAAUGUCACUUUCUAGCGAGCCCAGGAGCCCCAUGUUUUUCGGACCUCAAAAAGGAAUUUAUCCAACUCAUAGGUAUUUGAGGGUACAAACCCAUUGCUGGGCUCAGCUUUAAAAAGUCUUAUCUGAGAUUCUUUGUGGACCAGAGUUCCAUCAAAGCCAAUUUAAAAGCCUAUGUGAAAAAUAAUUAUUCUUGCUGCACUUUAUGCAAAUAAUUAGACCACAUAUAACACUAAAGUUUAUUUUGCAAAUAACUCAAGUCCUACCAUAAUUUGUUUCUGACAAAAAUGAGGACUAGAGAGAGAAAAAUUAUGUUUCAAAACUUAUCAUACACUUAUUAAAUUCUAAUCUCAUCAGUUGUUUGUAAGUUUUUGCCUACAUUUUAGACUAACCCUGCUUGUACCUGUGAACCAACCAGCGAUCUCUGGCUGAAGCUCAGAAGAAACAAAUGGUAUGGGUAAUGUAAAAAUCUAGAUCAAUAUUUUAAUUCUGAGUGAUUAUCCUGCAAAUCCUGCCAGGUGAUGGGAGUGAAUGAGGAGCCUAUAACCUGGAGGUUUCUUUGUUUGGGAAAAUAAGACCAAGGGAGCUAACCAAAGCCAAGCCCCAUGCACCCAAAUCUUAGCAGGCAUAACUAUAGCCACCAGCUAUCUGGGUAUGCUGGCAGCCUUGGGAUUUUUGAGCUGUCCUUACCGCCUUCAGUUUGAUAUAUAUUUUCUAAUAACUCAAAUUGUUUAUUCUUGCUUAGAGUACUAAACUUCAAAUGGUGAGGCAAAUGGAACUGUGCAUGGAUGUGCCAUUCUUCCAGGUACUCUUUUUUUUUUUGAGACGGAGUCUCGCUCUGUUGCCCAGGCUGGAGGGCAGUGGCGUGAUCUCGGCUCACUGCAAGCUCCGCCUCCCAGGUUCACGCCAUUCUCCUGCCUCAGCCUCCCGAGUAGCUGGACUACAGGCGCCCGCCACCACGCCCGGCUAAUUUUUUGUAUUUUUAGUAGAGACGAGGUUUCACCGUGUUGGCUAGGAUGGUCUCGAUCUCCUCACCUCGUGAUCCGCCUGCCUCGGCCUCCCAAAGUGCUGGGAUUACAGGCGUGAGCCACCGUGCCCGGCCUCUUCCAGGUACUCUUAAAGCAACCUCAGGAGGAGCUCUAAUGGCUUUCUCCAAACAGCGCCCCCUGUCAGCAGGACACAGUUAAGAGUGGACAUCGUUCACUUUCCCCAACAGCAGUUGGGGUCUUCACUCCUGAAUGGGGGAAGGAAAGGAGUUAGCCAGCUUCCUUUAGACAGAAAGUAAGAGAAGGGUCCUCAAGGAACCUCCGACCUGCCCCACAAGUGUUUACACCAGAUGUUUUGUGCAGAUAAGGGAACUUGCACAGGGGGCUUGUUUAAACAUGCCCUCAGUGGAAAAUUCUGUUCCUUAACACAUACAUACACAGUUAGAGAAAUAAAUCAAUAUGGAGUGGCUCAGUCUAAGGGCUCACAUGUGCACUGGAAGGAUGGGGUGGAGCUGCCAGGAAUUCACUCACACCUUAAGCCCUAGCCCUGGUAUUCAACUGUGAAGGGGACAACUGGAAACCUGCUUUCAGGACCUCUCCCUUUGCUGAGAGCUUUCCUUUCGCUUAAUAAAUUCUACUCCAUUCACUCUUUGGUGUCCAUGUGCCUAAUUCUUCCCGGUCUUGAGGCAAUAACCUGGACCUAGCUGAGAUAAGGAGCAAAAAUCCUGCAACACUAUGACAUACAGAGGUAUCAAACUUGCACCUGUACCCUCUGAAUCUUAAAUAAAAGUUUAAAAAAUUUAAAAAUAAUAAAUUAAGUAAUUAAAUAUGCA